rnacentral:rRNA from 1 species
ACUCAAAUGAAUUGACGGGGGCCCGCACAAGCGGUGGAUCAUGUGGUUUAAUUCGAAGCAACGCGAAGAACCUUACCUGGAUUUGACAUCCUUUGAAUACAGUAGAGAUAUUGUAGGCUCGCAAGAGACAAAGAGACAGGUGCUGCAUGGCUGUCGUCAGCUCGUGUUGUGAAAUGUUGGGUUAAGUCCCGCAACGAGCGCAACCCUUGCCUUUGGUUGCCAUCAUUAAGUUGGGCACUCCAGAGGGACUGCCGUCGUCAAGACGGAGGAAGGUGGGGAUGACGUCAAGUCCUCAUGGCCUUUAUAUCCAGGGCGACACACGUGAUACAAUGGUAGGUACAGAGGGGCGCGAAGUAGCGAUACGGAGCCAAUCCCAAAAAGCCUAUCUCAGUUCGGAUUGGAGUCUGCAACUCGACUCCAUGAAGUUGGAAUCGCUAGUAAUCGCGGAUCAGCACGCCGCGGUGAAUACGUUCCCGGGCCUUGUACACACCGCCCGU